rnacentral:rRNA from 1 species
UACGGGGGGAGCAAGCGUUGUUCGGAUUUACUGGGCGUAAAGGGCGCGUAGGCGGCCACCGCAAGUCGACUGUGAAAUCUCCGGGCUUAACCCGGAAAGGUCAGCCGAUACUGCGGGGCUAGAGUGCAGAAGGGGCAACUGGAAUUCUCGGUGUAGCGGUGAAAUGCGUAGAUAUCGUAAGGAACGCCAGUGGCGAAAGCGAGUCUCUGGGCAGCAUCUGACACUGAGGCACGAAGGCCAGGGGAGCAAACGGG